ensembl:lncRNA
AAAUGAAUAAGAGAUGAACGCGGCUGGAUCCGGGCUGGACGCAGACCGACACUGCGCAGUAAAUAUCAUCUGGGCUGGGUUCGGAGAGGUUCGGUCGGGCUGAGACGGGUGGUUUAGGAGGAAGAAGUGCGCUGGACCCUCACAGAGGCCCACAGCUGCGCACAUCAGCUGUUCCGAGCAUCCCCGUGUGUUUAUUUGAGCUCUCAAUCCAUCAUCACCUUUAUUUGACGAGCAAUCGCAGGAAGAAGUCAAGGCUCUUUCCUGGUGUUUCCUUGAGCAGAAUGCAUACUCACACACACACUUAGACACAACUUACAUCACUCUGUACCCUAAAUAGAAUAUGCAUCAUGGCCUAUUGUUCAUCCAAACAGUGCGGUCACACUGAUGUGGCAUUUCUCAGCCUUAUUCGUCAACACGGGCCAAAAUGUUUGUCUGAUAAACCUAGAUGACCUUUAUUGAUCUAUUAGUCAAAAGUCAGAAUGCCUUUGGGGUUAUUCUACAGCCAGAGGGCUUUUGCACAAUAAAUCGGCCUUGAGAAAUGUUGUUGCUCA